CUCCGCACAUAUCACAUGAUGUAUGCGGGAAAGCUUUUGCGGUAAGAGAUGGGUCGCGGCCCAUUAGGUAGACGGCGGGGUAGAAGCCCCCACCCGUGCCGAUGAUGGGUAGCCGGGUUGAGAGACCGACCGGCCACAUUGGGACUGAGAUACGGCCCAGACUCCUACGGGAGGCAGCAGUGGGGAAUAUUGCGCAAUGGGGGAAACCCUGACGCAGCAACGCCGCGUGCGGGAUGAAGGCCUUCGGGUUGUAAACCGCUUUCAGCAGGGGAAGACAUCGACGGUACCUGCAGAAGAAGCCCCGGCUAACUACGUGCCAGCAGCCGCGGUAAU
rnacentral:rRNA from 1 species